UAAAUUUUUUUUUUUUUAAAAAAAGCACCAAUCCAAGCUCCACUGACUCUCUAGAAGAUAUUUUGUAUUUGGGACUUGCUGAACUCCAGGGUAAUUUUAUUUUUUAUGGAGUGAACUGGCCAAAAAACAGCCUUUAAAAAAGCCUUUUGGGUUAAUAGAUAAUUGGUUCAAAUUUUAACAUUCAUUUUCCCUUGUAAAUUUUACUGAUGUACCACACACCUAAAAAGAACUUAUAAAACAUAGGUUUUUCUAGCAAAUAAUAAAAAAUAAUUGUUCGAGUUUGGAAAAUAUAGGGGUUAUUGUGUGCUAAUAAUGGAACGAUAUGUAAAGGUGGCAAUAGAACAGGGAUUAGACCUUUAAGAAUGCUACCAUGUUAAAUGGUCAAUUGCUCAAAAAAUUGAUAAUUAUUUUUCAAUCUUAUUGUUAAAAGAUUGAUUAUAUCAAACGCUUACAUUUUUUGCUGCUGUGCUAAAAGCUUCCCUGUGGCUGAUGUCAGGAUUACUAGCCUUGAUCCUUUGAAUUUCCUC
rnacentral:misc_RNA from 1 species